CUAUUCGCAAGGAUAGGACUGAAGGAAGCGGAACUACAAAACUCGGUACUGACGAACAGAAAUCAGAUAAGAGGCUAUUAGGUUGGAUGAGCAAGCACACCAUUGUGAUGUCCUAAACACUUAUAGUGAAAACCAAAAUAGUAGAUCUGGCAGGGAUCGAGUGAAAGAAGAUGUUC
rnacentral:ncRNA from 1 species